AUUGAACGCUGGCGGCAUGCCUAACACAUGCAAGUCGAACGGUAACAGGCCUUCGGGCGCUGACGAGUGGCGGACGGGUGAGUAACGCGUGGGAAUCUGCCUAGUAGUGGGGGGACAACCUGGGGGAAACUCAGGCUAAUACCGCAUACGCCCUACCGGGGGAAAGCAGGGGAUCUUCGGACCUUGCGCUAUUAGAUGAGCCUGCGUCGGAUUAGCUUGUUGGUGGGGUAAAGGCCUACCAAGGCGACGAUCCGUAGCUGGUUUGAGAGGACGAUCAGCCACACUGGGACUGAGACACGGCCCAGACUCCUACGGGAGGCAGCAGUGGGGAAUCUUGGACAAUGGGCGCAAGCCUGAUCCAGCCAUGCCGCGUGAGUGAUGAAGGCCUUAGGGUCGUAAAGCACUGUGGGGAGAGACGAAACAGCGCAGUAGGAAAUGACUGCGCCUUGACGGUACCUCCUUAGCAAGCACCGGCUAACUCUGUG
rnacentral:rRNA from 1 species